rnacentral:rRNA from 1 species
UACGGGGGGGGUAAGCGUUGUUCGGAAUUACUGGGCGUAAAGGGCUCGUAGGCGGCCAACUAAGUCAUACGUGAAAUCCCUCAGCUUAACUGGGGAACUGCGUGUGAUACUGGAUGGCUUGGAUUUGGGAGAGGGAUGCGGAAUUCCAGGUGUAGCGGUGAAAUGCGUAGAUAUCUGGAGGAACACCGGUGGCGAAGGCGGCCCGCUGGGCAGGAAGACGACCGCAAGGUGUCGGCUGACGCUGAGGCGCGACAGCGUGGGGAGCAAACAGG